UCUGAAUCUGUUUUUCUGUAAUUCCCUUGGUUAUGCAUAGGAUUACUUGCUAACCUGUACCAUAGCCUUUUUGCAAUGUUUUCAUAUAGAAUUUUCUUCGGCGUGUGCUUUGAUUACAGGCACCCAAAGUGUGGGAAGAACAAACAGUAAUUCAAGUUAGGUGUAUUGUUGUCCAGAUGAGUUCGUCAUGUGCUAGAAGGUGAGCUGAACCCAAUCUAGGCCUCAAGUUUCUCAUGUCCUUUACAGUGCAUUGUUAUUUCUGUGAGGUUCACAUGUAAUUUGUUCAACUAUAGUACUCAGUGAAUGAGACAAGGCAUUACUGCAUUUUAUUUCGUGGUGUUCAGCUGCAAGAAUUUAGUUUGUUUCUUUUUUUUGAAGUCAUAGAUUGUUUUGUGCCAGAAACAGGACAAGUAAUGCUCUAUAACCUUGGCAUAAAAAAUGGUCUAAAUUUCAUAUAGAAGGCCGUGGAAUACUUUGCAUGUGUUCAUUCAAAUAUAUGGAGUUGACCUGUACGUGUUGCUUCUAUGCACACUAUGUUCCAUAUGAAUUUGUAGGAGAGAAUCUCUAUAAUGGUAAUUAAGUAUUGUCGAUAUUUACUCUGUUGCUUUAGGAUCGAACAGCUGGACCUGGAAGCCACGAGAGCUGCCCGAGGAAGAGGGCGAAGGCGCGGGGGUGGAAGAGGGUAUGCCUGUGGUCAUCACCUUCCGAGACGACACGACCCGGCGAUUCAGAUUUAUCUUAUUCCUUGCCUCAACAACAUGCUCUGCUUCUUGAGCUUGCAGGUUCUAGCCUUUCUCUUCUCCUCUUGUUGUCUUGCACUCCGAUCAAGCCAUGGUGCAUAUUGCCUCAGAUUUGCUUAUUUGAGUGUGCUUUUAUACAUAAAUCUUGAUUUGUUUGUUUUUCAUAUUUUUAGGGAUAUGAGGAGAGAACUCUAUUGUUGGCAGUGACUGCAUCAUUUCCACAAGUGAUAUGGUUGAUCUUUGCUAUGUGGACGAUGGCAGGAUCUGUACCUAAGUUUGGAGAUUCUGAAUUAGUAAGAAAACGAUGGCAACCAUUUGAUUGUUUUUUUAUUACUUUAGGAAUAUGAGGAGAGAGCUCUAUUGUUGGCAGGGGCUGCAUCAUUAUCUUUGCUAUGUGGACCGAUGGCAUGAUCUGUACCUAAGGUUGAAGAUUCUGAAUUAGGAAAGAAAAAGAUGACAGCCACUUCGUUUUAGUACAUCAGUUUACUGAAUAAUUCUACGCUUUGAACUGCACGAUUACAGUGACAAUAUAACUAAAUAAUGGAAGAAACUUAAGGCUAGACACCACAUAAAUUUUCUUUUUAUUUGAAUUUAUAAUUAGACACUUGAAUUUAGCUUGAUACAUAUCAUAUGAUACCUUAGAAGCCCAUAUUGUAAAAUUUGACCAGUUCCCAUAAGGCCACAACUGUAUCUUAGUGUAGAAUUUACUUUCUCUUUUCGAAUGCCCAUAUAUUAUGUUGCUCUCUGAUUCAACUUAUACGCAUUUAGCAGCUUAUCUUUAUCAUGUUAUCCCGUUCUUACCAAUACCAUGUGGUAGCUAAAUGUGUUGAUCUACCACUGUAGUGUUAGUAUUGUUUUUCAACUAUUUUUUAUUGGCCAGCUAUAUGAUGUUAGUCAGCUAGUUCCAUUUUUGGACGAUUAAUUAUUUGCAUGGAUGUUAAGUGAAUGGCUUAUAUUGCCUUACAGUGGUAAACUGAAAAGUGCCUUACAUGAGGACUGAUGGUGAUAUUAUAUACAUGUAUGUAUAUGUUUUCAUUAAGCAGAACACGUGAGAAAUCACUGAUGCGCAUGGAUGAUAGCUUUCCCACGAUGAAACAAAGUUGAUCUUGAAAUAAUCAUAGCUGAGGGAUUAGGUUCGUAACUGAGGGUAUGUGCAGAGCUGGAGGAAGAAGUUGCGAGGCUUGAAACUCUUCUUGUGAAGGGCUCAGGGACAGCAGUGGGGACAAUGCCUCCUUAGUUGUAAUUGUGAUACUUCUGAUGUGCAAAUAAACACUCUUAUGAAACUCCUUAUGCUGAAAUGUUGGUUGUUAGUACAUUAUUUGGUUCUCUGGUACUGAUUUCAUGAUUUGUGGUUAAUACAUGAUGUAAUACAAUCCACAUUGCAUUAUAUUCCCAACUACAUCUCCU
rnacentral:lncRNA from 1 species